rnacentral:rRNA from 1 species
GACGAACGCUGGCGGUGUGCUUAACACAUGCAAGUGGUGCGACGAACCAGAGCUUGCUCUGGGGCAAAGCCGCGAACGGGUGAGUAACACGUGGGUAAUCUACCCCGAUGACCGGGACAACCCGAGGAAACUCGGGCUAAUACCGGAUGUGGUACGGAGACAUAAGUCUCUUUACUAAAGGUAGCUUCGGCUUCCGCAUUGGGAGGGGCCCGCGGCCCAUUAGCUAGUUGGUGGGGUCAAGGCCUACCAAGGCAACGAUGGGUAGCUGGUCUGAGAGGACGAUCAGCCACACUGGGACUGAGACACGGCCCAGACUCCUACGGGAGGCAGCAGUGGGGAAUCUUGCGCAAUGCGCGAAAGCGUGACGCAGCAACACCGCGUGAGGGAAGACGGCCUUAGGGUUGUAAACCUCUUUCAGAUGGGACGAAGGUGAUGUGGUGAAUAGCCGAUGUCAUUGACGGUACCGUCAGAAGAAGCUCCGGCUAACUACGUGCCAGCAGCCGCGGUAU